CUUUUGGAAGCAGCCUUGCACAUAUCAUACACUGUCAGGCCAGCUGUGGUUACAGCUGUCAGUGCCUCCAUUUCAACACCUGUUGUCCCAGUAGUUGCAGCUUCUCCUUCAAUCUCAACACUGUAAUCGUCUGGAUUCAGUAUUAGAUCUACACGAACAUGAGAUAGGGUGAUAUUGUGACAAAGNNNNGAGGCUGCUUGUGUGCUUUGCUCCAUUUAUGCCAGCUAUUUUGGCAACAGUAAGAACAUCUCCUUUUGACAUUUGGUUGGCUAAAACCAUAUCAAACACUUUCUUGCCC
rnacentral:misc_RNA from 1 species